rnacentral:rRNA from 1 species
GACGGGAGGUGCAAGCGUUGCUCGGAAUCACUGGGCGUAAAGGGUGCGUAGGCGGCCGUGUAAGUCUGGCGUGAAAGCCCCGGGCUCAGCCCGGGAAGUGCGCUCGAAACUGCGCGGCUCGAGUGCCGGAGGGGAGAGUGGAAUUCCUGGUGUAGCGGUGAAAUGCGUAGAUAUCAGGAGGAAUACCGGUGGCGAAAGCGACUCUCUGGACGGCAACUGACGCUGAGGCACGAAAGCGUGGGGAGCAAACAGG